rnacentral:rRNA from 1 species
GACAGAGGGUGCGAACGUUGUUCGGAAUUACUGGGCGUAAAGCGUGUGUAGGCGGCUGCGCAAGUCGGAUGUGAAAGCCCUGGGCUCAACCCAGGAAGUGCACCCGAAACUGCGUAGCUUGAGUCUCGGAGAGGUUGGUGGAAUUCUCGGUGUAGAGGUGAAAUUCGUAGAUAUCGAGAGGAACACCGAUGGCGAAGGCAGCCCCCUGGGCUAACACUGACGCUCAGGCACGAAAGCGUGGGGAGCAAACAGG